UACGAAGGGUGCAAGCGUUAAUCGGAAUUACUGGGCGUAAAGGGUGCGUAGGCGGUUCGUUAAGUCUGUCGUGAAAUCCCCGGGCUCAACCUGGGAACCGCGCUUGAGACUGGCACGCUAGAGUUCGGGAGAGGAUGGUGGAAUUCCCAGUGUAGAGGUGAAAUUCGUAGAUAUUGGGAAGAACACCGAUGGCGAAGGCAGCCAUCUGGACCGACACUGACGCUGAGGCGCGAAAGCGUGGGGAGCAAACAGG
rnacentral:rRNA from 1 species